rnacentral:rRNA from 1 species
AACGAACGCUGGCGGCAGGCUUAACACAUGCAAGUCGAACGAGAUCUUCGGAUCUAGUGGCAGACGGGUGAGGAACACGUUGGAACAUCCCUUUCAGUUCGGAAUAACGUUGGGAAACUAACGCUAAUACCGGAUACGUCCUUCGGGAGAAAGAUUUAUCGCUGAAAGAUUGGCCCGCGCCUGAUUAGCUCGUUGGUGGGGUAAAGGCCUACCAAGGCGACGAUCCAUAGCUGGUCUGAGAGGAUGACCAGCAACAUUUGGACUUAGACCCGGCCCAAGUUCCUAGGGGAGGCAGCAAUGGGGAAUAUUUGACACGGGGCGCAAGCCUGAUCCAGCCAUCCCGCGUGAGUGAUGAAGGCCCCAGGGUGUAAAAGCUCUCUCGCCGGUGAAGUUAAUGGCGGUAACCGUAGAAGAAGCCCCGGCUAACUUCGUGCCAGAAGCCGCCGUAA